AUUGAACGCUGGCGGCAUGCUUUACACAUGCAAGUCGAACGGCAGCGAGAGAGAAGCUUGCUUCUCUUGUUGGCGAGUGGCGAACGGGUGAGUAAUAAAUCGGAACGUACCCUGUAGUGGGGGAUAACUACUCGAAAGAGUAGCUAAUACUGCAGACAAACUGAGGGUAAAAGUGGGGGACCGCAAGGCCUCACGAUAUAGGACAGGCCGAUGGAAGAUUCGCUAGUUGGUAGGGUAAAGGCCUACCAAGACGACGAUCUGUAGCGGGUCUGAGAGGACGAUCCGCCACACGGGUACUGAUACACGGCCCAGACUCCUACGGGAGGCAGCAGUGGGGAAUUUUGUACAAUGGGCGAAAGCCUGAUCCAGCAAUGCCGCGUGAGUGAAGAAGGCCUUCGGGUUGUAUAGCUCUUUUGUUUGGGAAGAAAUCCUAACGGAUAAUACCUGUUGGGGAUGACGGUACCAAAAGAAUAAGCACCGGCUAACUACGUGCCAGCCGCCGCAGUAAGAC
rnacentral:rRNA from 1 species